rnacentral:rRNA from 1 species
GAUGAACGCUGGCGGCGUGCUUAACACAUGCAAGUCGAGCGAGACGUUUUGAAAAGAUUCUUCGGAUGAAAUUUAAAAUGGAAAGCGGCGGACGGGUGAGUAACGCGUAGGCAACCUGCCCCAUACAAAGGGAUAGCAUUUGGCAACGAAUAUUAAUACCUUAUGAAACUUAACUGGCGCAUGCUAGGUAGGUCAAAGAUUUAUCGGUAUGGGAUGGGCCUGCGUCUGAUUAGCUAGUUGGUGAGGUAACGGCUCACCAAGGCGGCGAUCAGUAGCCGACCUGGGGAGGUGAACGGGCAAAUUGGAACUUAGGCACGGUCCAAACUCCUUCGGGAAGGAGGCGGUGGGAAUAUUUGACCAUGGGGGGAACCCUGAUGCAGCACCUCCGCGUUAAAUGUGGAGGCCUUUGGGUCGUAAAGUUCUGUUCUAGGUGAUGAAUACUGACGGUAACCUAGGAGAAAGCCCCGGCUAACUCCGUG